ensembl:lncRNA
AUGCCAGAGCACUGUGCAGCAUUUUCCUGUUCAAAUCGGCGGACCAUCGCAAGUAGGGCUCGGGGGAUUACUUUUCACAAGUUUCCCAAGGACAAAGAUGUGAGGAAGAAGUGGGAAGUGGCUUUGAGGAGAGAAGGAUUCCAUGCAAGUGAUACAUCAGAGAGAGAGAGAGAGAGAGAGAUAGAUAGAGAAGAGUGUGUGUGUGAGUGUGUGUGUGUGAGAGAGAGAGUGAGUGAGAGAGAAGAGUGUGUGUGAGAGAGUGAGAGAGAGAGAAGAGAGUGUGUGUGUGUGUGUGUGUGAGAGAGAGAGAGAGAAGGGUGUGUGUGUGUGUGUGUGUGUGAGAGAGAGAGAGAGAGAGAGAAGAGUGUGUGUGUGUGUGUGUGAGAGAGAGAGAGAAGUGUGUGUGUGUGUAUGUAUGUGUGAGAGAGAGAGAGUGUAUGUCACAAAUCAUUAUAAAUUGUUUCUUAUUAAAAUAUUUUACUGCAACGAUCUGUUUCUGCUUCUUUAUCAUAUUUAUAGUGUGUGAUUUAUAAAUUACCUUAUAUCCUACAUCACAUAUUUUGAUUUUGGACGUCUGGUCACUUUAUAUCUUACAUCAGAAUAUUAUAUAACUGUUAAGCCUACUAUGAAUAUUAAAAUACGCUGAACCAUGUGUCCUGUAUCAUAGCAUAGCGUCAAAAUCAGUUAGGUAUUCAGUGAGAUAUGAUUAAUUAAAUGCGCUGACAGCUCAUUGCACCUGGCAAACAAGUUACACUGAGUGGAGCUGGCGACCGAUCCAAGAUGGCGGCUCCACGGCUCGACCGUGCCAAUAGGCAGUGGCGUUCGAUAGGGCGUCUACCUAUAUGAUGUCUAUGUUCAUAAGUGCUUUGUUUACGGCGGUAACCAAGGAAACGCUUUAAGCUCCACCUGCCGCGGUGUUCAUAAGUGCUUUGUUUACGGCAGUAACCAAGGAAACGCGUAUGCAGCAUCUUUCGAAGAGAUUUAUUUUAUUUGUGUUACUUAUUUAUUUGAUUUGGUCUGUUUCAUGCUGAUGUUUUUAUGUGUAGUUUCACAAAACUGAAGUUAAAUAAUUAUGUUUUUGCUUCAAAUUUAGAAAUGAUACAAUCUAAUUUAGAUUAAAAACUGCUCAUGUUGCAUGUAUGCAGCAUCUUUGUUUGGAUGAUGUUAAAAUGCAGUGGUUGCCUCUUAUUUUAAAUGGAAAGAGCACAGCCAAAGCCUUAUUUUGUUUAUAUGAAGAGAUUUAUUUUAUUUGUGUUACUUAUUUAUUUGAUUUGGGGCUUGUUUUAAAUUUCAAUUUAGUUUUGUUAUUUACAUUUACAUUAUAUUUAAAUUUGAUUAUUUGGCAGACGCUUUUAUCCAAAGUGACUUACAGAUGACAACAGAAGCAAUCAAAACCAACAAAAGAGCAAUAAUAUGCAAGUGCUAUAUUAGUAUAUUAUUAUAUUUCAAUUUCACAAAGAAAUAUACAGCAUUUUGUCCAAGCAAUAAUAAAAGGACACAUUUAAUUUGUCUUAAAUUUCA